rnacentral:rRNA from 1 species
CUGCGAAAGCCGGAUUAAUACCGCAUACGCUCUGCGGAGGAAAGCGGGGGAUCCUUCGGGACCUCGCGCUACAGGGGCGGCCGAUGGCAGAUUAGCUAGUUGGUGGGGUAAAGGCCUACCAAGGCGACGAUCUGUAGCUGGUCUGAGAGGACGACCAGCCACACUGGGACUGAGACACGGCCCAGACUCCUACGGGAGGCAGCAGUGGGGAAUUUUGGACAAUGGGGGCAACCCUGAUCCAGCAAUGCCGCGUGUGUGAAGAAGGCCUUCGGGUUGUAAAGCACUUUUGUCCGGAAAGAAAACGUCGUGGCUAAUACCCGUGGCGGAUGACGGUACCGGAAGAAUAAGCACCGGCUAACUACGUGCCAGCAGUCGCGGUAAUACGUAGGGUGCAAGCGUUAAUCGGAAUUACUGGGCGUAAAGCGUGCGCAGGCGGUUCGCUAAGACAGAUGUGAAAUCCCCGGGCUUAACCUGGGAACUGCAUUUGUGACUGGCAAGCUAGAGUAUGGCA